rnacentral:rRNA from 1 species
UAAUACGUAGGGGGCGAGCGUUGUCCGGAUUCACUGGGCGUAAAGCGCGCGUAGGCGGAGUUGCGUGUCCGGCCUGAAAGCCCCCGGCUCAACCGGGGAGGGCGGCCGGAAACUGCAAUUCUUGAGGGCGAUAGGGGAGAGCGGAAUUCCUGGUGUAGCGGUGAAAUGCGUAGAUAUCAGGAGGAACACCGGUGGCGAAGGCGGCUCUCUGGGUCGGCCCUGACGCUGAGGCGCGAAAGCGUGGGUAGCGAACGGGAUUAGAUACCCCGGUAGUCCACGCCGUAAACGAUGGUCACUAGGUGUGUGAGGUAUCGACCCCGCACGUGCCGUAGCUAACGCGAUAAGUGACCCGCCUGGGGAGUACGACCGCAAGGUUG